rnacentral:rRNA from 1 species
GUGGGUAGUUUGACUGGGGCGGUCUCCUCCCAAAGCGUAACGGAGGAGCACGAAGGUUAGCUAAUCCUGGUCGGACAUCAGGAGGUUAGUGCAAUGGCAUAAGCUAGCUUGACUGCGAGCGUGACGGCGCGAGCAGGUGCGAAAGCAGGUCAUAGUGAUCCGGUGGUUCUGAAUGGAAGGGCCAUCGCUCAACGGAUAAAAGGUACUCCGGGGAUAACAGGCUGAUACCGCCCAAGAGUUCAUAUCGACGGCGGUGUUUGGCACCUCGAUGUCGGCUCAUCACAUCCUGGGGCUGAAGUAGGUCCCAAGGGUAUGGCUGUUCGCCAUUUAAAGUGGUACGCGAGCUGGGUUUAGAACGUCGUGAGACAGUUCGGUCCCUAUCUGCCGUGGGCGCUGGAGAAUUGAGGGGGGCUGCUCCUAGUACGAGAGGACCGGAGUGGACGCAUCACUGGUGUUCGGGUUGUCAUGCCAAUGGCACUGCCCGGUAGCUAAAUGCGGAAGAGAUAAGUGCUGAAAGCAUCUAAGCACGAAACUUGCCCCGAGAUGAGUUCUCCCUGAGACUAUAAGUCUCCUGAAGGAACGUUAAAGACGAUGACGUUGAUAGGCCGGGUGUGUAAGCGCAGCGAUGCGUUGAGCUAACCGGUACUAAUGAACCGUGAGGCUUAACCUU